UGAUAGCUGUGAAGCGUGAGGUUGCUGCCUACAAAUUGGCAGGUUUUCCGUGGAGCGAAUGUCAAGUUAGGAAACUGACGACAA
rnacentral:ncRNA from 1 species